ACUGCACAUGAAGCUCCCUUAGAUGGUGGAAGCGGACCAGAUUGGAAGCAUUCACUAGAAGGAGGACAAGAUAGGCAAGUGUAAAUUAUUUUCAGCACCGUUGUAUCGAGCGAUAGAAGAUCUUCGAUCUUCUCAAACCCUGCGCCUUGGCCGACCAUACACAGGGCAUGGAACGAGCCAGUAGAAUCUUCAUCAUCGCCCAGUAAUUCCGUAUUACCUUCGAACUUAAGGAAAUGAAGAUAUAUAUAGUACAACCUCUUUUGCGAUGUGACUAUCUCUACUCACAUCAUCCUGUGUUGUGGACGAUGCUUUGGACGUCCGGUUGGCUUCAGUCCACACUUCCGGUUGAAGUGGUCGGUCGCACAAACACUCGGGAGGACAGUCGAGCAAAGCGAAUGAUCGAUCGCGUGCCUCUGUUAUGUGGAGCAG